rnacentral:rRNA from 1 species
AUUGAACGCUGGCGGCAGGCCUAACACAUGCAAGUCGAACGAGUGGCGGACGGGUGAGUAAUGUCUGGGAAACUGCCCGAUGGAGGGGGAUAACUACUGGAAACGGUAGCUAAUACCGCAUACCAUCGGAUGUGCCCAGAUGGGAUUAGCUAGUAGGUGGGGUAACGGCUCACCUAGGCGACGAUCCCUAGCUGGUCUGAGAGGAUGACGAGCGACACUGGAACUGAGACACGGUACAGACUCCUGCGAGAGUCAGCAGUGGGGAAUGUUGCACAAUAGGCGAGAGCCUGGUACAGCCAUGCCGCGUGUAUGAAGAGGGCCUUCUGGUUGUAAAGUACUUUCAGCGGGGAGACGUUACUCGCAGAAGAAGCACCGGCUAACUCCGUGCCAGAAGCCGCGGUAAUUC